rnacentral:rRNA from 1 species
UAAUACGUAGGGGGCGAGCGUUGUCCGGAAUUACUGGGCGUAAAGAGUUCGUAGGCGGUCUGAUAAGUCAGAUGUGAAAGGCGUAGGCUUAACCUAUGUAAGCAUAUGAAACUGUCAGACUUGAGGUAAGGAGAGGAAAGUGGAAUUCCUAGUGUAGCGGUGAAAUGCGUAGAUAUUAGGAGGAAUACCAGUGGCGAAGGCGACUUUCUGGACUUAAACUGACGCUGAGGAACGAAAGCGUGGGGAGCAAACAGG